rnacentral:rRNA from 1 species
AACGAACGCUGGCGGCAUGCCUAACACAUGCAAGUCGAACGAGACCUUCGGGUCUAGUGGCGCACGGGUGCGUAACGCAUGGGAACCUGCCCUUAGGUUCGGAAUAACUCCCCGAAAGGGGUGCUAAUACCGGAUAAUGUCUUCGGACCAAAGAUUUAUCGCCUUUGGAUGGGCCCGCGUUGGAUUAGCUAGUUGGUAGGGUAAAAGCCUACCAAGGCGACGAUCCAUAGCUGGUAUGAGAGGAUGAUCAGCCACACUGGGACUGAGACACGGCCCAGACUCCUACGGGAGGCAGCAGUGGGGAAUAUUGGACAAUGGGCGAAAGCCUGAUCCAGCUAUGCCGCGUGAGUGAUGAAGGCCUUAGGGUUGUAAAGCUCUUUUACCCGGGAUGAUAAUGACAGUACCGGGAGAAUAAGCUCCGGCUAACUCCGUG